UGAGCACAGCCUCGGACAUUGGAAACCAGGCUCCCGAUGACAGAAGCUUUACUCUGAGAAGAUAUGGCCAAGGAGGGAGCACUUCCAUGCUCCUAGUCAAGGGCUAUGGUAUCUCCCUAGGAGGAACAAGACACUGGCAUUUCUCAUUCUCCCCAUCUCCAUGUUGCAGAGGUUAAAUUUUAGAUGACUGCAUCUGAGAGGUCAAUGAAUCUUUAUGUAGCCCCCACUGGUGGGGCAGAAGAUCUAUCCCAAAUAUAGCAGGCUGACCAUAGGGGAGUCCUUAUUACAUUCACUCCAGUUUGCUUGUAGGGAGAAGAGUCCACAUGGGGAGAAGCAAAUGGGAAAGACAAGAGGCUACUUUCCUUGAUCAGUGCCCCA
rnacentral:lncRNA from 10 species